GCUACGGGUGGCAGCAGUGAGGAAUAUUGGUCAAUGGACGAGAGUCUGAACCAGCCAAGUAGCGUGAAGGAUGACUGCCCUAUGGGUUGUAAACUUCUUUUAUAAAGGAAUAAAACGCGGCACGUGUGCCUUUUUGCAUGUACUUUAUGAAUAAGGAUCGGCUAACUCCGUGCCAGCAGCCGCGGUAAUACGGAGGAUCCGAGCGUUAUCCGGAUUUAUUGGGUUUAAAGGGGGCGUAGAUGGGGUGUUAAGUCAGUUGGGAAACUUUGCGGCUCAACCGUAGAAGUGCAUUUGAUACUGGCAGUCUUGAGUACAGGUGAGGUAGGCGGAAUUCGUGGUGUAGCGGUGAAAUGCUUAGAUAUCGCGAAGAACCCCGAUUGCGAAGGCAGCUUACUAAAGUGUGACUGACAUUGAUGCACGAAAGUGUGGGUAUCGAACAGGAUUAGAUACCCGAGUAGUC
rnacentral:rRNA from 1 species